rnacentral:lncRNA from 1 species
CAAAGUUUCUGAAUAUUUAUCUGUGCAUGUUUGUUUGCAGGGGUCCACUACACCAUAUGCACACAAUGGUGCCCAGGUUUGGACUCUACAGGAAAUUUCAAUGUGCUAACAGUUGGCACUUUAUUUGUGGACACACCCUUUACUUCCAAAUGCACAGCACUUCAGCUUCAGGCCCUGUGCUGGAGACUACAGAAAGGAGAAGAAAUGUUACUACUGAAAGAACCUCUGCAGACUGUUAGCUGCUGACAUGGCCAAUGAGAAGAAAAUGAAUGGUGUGCAGGAAAUGGGUCCAUCUCAAAAAACACUAUGAGGACAAGAAGAAACGGGGUAACUAGAGCCAAGAGAGGAGAGCCACUUUCAGCAACAGAAGAGACUCUGAAGCCAGGAAGUGAGAUAUUUCAGGAAAAUUAAUCUGACACAGAGGUCCACACUGAGAUAUACUCAGACUUUGUGAAGGCAAAAAGUAAUUUCAAAAUGGGCAAUAAAUUGCUGCUAUUCCUAAAAAAUCAUUCACUCUACUUCCAUCAUCAUCUGCUAGUCCUCACAUACUCUUCCUGUUCUCAGUCCAUUACCUUGCCAAAACCAUGUUUCAUUUUAAACCACCACAAGACACAGUGGGGGUGGAAAUAAGAGCCAGGGAAAAGCAAGGAGGUGUUAAGAUUGCUGCUUUUGAUGCUUCAUGGCUUCCAUCUCCUAAGUGUGGUUGUAUAAGUACAGCCUGGGAGGAGCUGGGAGAAGAGACUGAAGAGAAUAAUAAUGGGUAUGAGAUAAUGGAAAAAAUGAGAUGCAAAAUGAGAGAAGUCUGGCCAGAAUUUUUGGGAGCUAUUGACCUGUUUAAAAGCAUACUACAGCAGAAGUGGUCAUUGAAUAAGGUGAGUUAUUUUAAUUGUAUUGAGGAAUUUCAGUGCAGUUUCAAAUAAUGGGAUGUAGCUCUGUGAUCGUUUUGAACUACAUCUAGAUGAGCUCUUUGCACAUAACUGUGAAAUCAGGAAGAAACACAUAAUUUCAUAAUAAUAAUUAGCUGAAAACUUGGACUUCACAUCUGCUUUUGAAAACUAUCACCACAUAAUCAAUAUAGGAAGGUUAUAAACACGGAAGAUAACCAUGAAAUGAAAGGUAUAUAAAUGUGUCCAGUUUUGAGAUCUUCAUUCUGAAAAUGUGCUGCUGCUUUGAAUUGCAGUCAAAAUCUCUGCAAUUAAGGUGUGACAUGCCCUUCUGGUAAUAAAGUUUUCCAAAUUAUAUUAGAAGCA